rfam:Desulfonatronospira thiodismutans ASO3-1 ctg21, whole genome shotgun sequence.
GGAGGGAAGCCGGGCGGCAGGGACACUGCCAAUCCCGUCAGGCCCGAAAGGGAGCAGCGGUAACAGCUGGACCUGGGUGCCCGGCUUCCCUGGCAG